CCACGCGCGCGCCAUGGGUUUGAACAGCAAUAAAAAUGAAUUACUACUGAACGCCCACGAAGCUAAAGCUUUUGGCUGGGACUUCCCGGUCCUCCUCGAACGUGUAAGAGGGUUUUAUUUGUACACGGGCCUCGGCAAUUGAUCUUUUUGAUGACACUCUCAUUCAAGAAAGAAUUUGAUUUAUGAGUUCGAGAGGAAUUUCGUCCAAA
rfam:Scleropages formosus scaffold472, whole genome shotgun sequence.